GCCGACGUAGCUCAGAGGUAGAGCAGCGGUUUCGUAAACCGCGGGUCGUCAGUUCAAUUCUGACCGUCGGCU
rnacentral:tRNA from 1 species